rnacentral:rRNA from 1 species
UCUCUAGAAGACAUCUGAAGGAGAUUAAAGAUUUAUCGGUGAUGGAUGGGGAUGCGUCUGAUUAGCUUGUUGGCGGGGUAACGGCCCACCAAGGCUACGAUCAGUAGGGGUUCUGAGAGGAAGGUCCCCCACAUUGGAACUGAGACACGGUCCAAACUCCUACGGGAGGCAGCAGUGAGGAAUAUUGGUCAAUGGGCGAGAGCCUGAACCAGCCAAGUAGCGUGCAGGAUGACGGCCCUAUGGGUUGUAAACUGCUUUUAUAAGGGAAUAAAGUGAGUCUCGUGAGACUUUUUGCAUGUACCUUAUGAAUAAGGACCGGCUAAUUCCGUGCCAGCAGCCGCGGUAAUACGGAAGGUUCGGGCGUUAUCCGGAUUUAUUGGGUUUAAAGGGAGCGUAGGCCGGAGAUUAAGCGUGUUGUGAAAUGUAGAUGCUCAACAUCUGCACUGCAGCGCGAACUGGUUUCCUUGAGUACGCACAAAGUGGGCGGAAUUCGUGGUGUAGCGGUGAAAUGCUUAGAUAUCACGAAGAACUCCGAUUGCGAAGGCAGCUCACUGGAGCGCAACUGACGCUGAAGCUCGAAAGUGCGGGUAUCGAACAGGAUUAGAUACCCUGGUAGUCCGCACGGUAAACGAUGGAUGCCCGCUGUUGGUCUGAAUAGGUCAGCGGCCAAGCGAAAGCAUUAAGCAUCCCACCUGGGGAGUA